UGUGUGUGUAGUGAUUUGUCUGGUUAAUUCCGUUAACGAACGAGACCUUGACCUGCUAUAUAGUCCAGCGAAUCUUUGGCUUCGUUUGCGACUUCUUAGAGGGACUUUGCUUUCUUAUGGCAAGGAAGUGCUGAGGCUAUUACA
rnacentral:rRNA from 1 species